GGAGGAGGCACAUGAGGAGCCGAUGGUGCACUAGAAGAAGUAGACCCAUAGACUCUCUGAGUGUACUGAGUCUCGGGGACAGUCUCCUGGCCCGAAGAACUGGGAGCGGAAGAAGAGGCCGGGUCUAAACGACUACCCGGCUCACCGAAGAUCUCUCUAUAAUGGGCAGUAAGUCUUCCUUUUCGAACCUGGAAAAAAAAAUGAAAUUUUUGAAAUUAACAUCAACAAUAUAUUUUCCAACAUUAUCCACCUAAUCAACACUAAAUAACAUAAAAUCCGCAAACCUAUCUAAAUUCUCUAUACUAACCACCUAAUCUAUCCUAAACUAACCAAAUUAGAGAGGAAUCAGGCUUACCAUUGCUACGAAAUGGAGAGGAAGUAGAGAGGAAGU
rnacentral:lncRNA from 1 species